ACAAACUUGGUCAUUUAGAGGAAGUAAAAGUCGUAACAAGGUUUCCGUAGGUGAACCUGCGGAAGGAUCAUUAUCGAGUUUUGAAGUGGGCUGCUUGAGCUGGCACUGCAGGUGCUCGGCGGCUCCGCUCUCAUCCACUCAACCCCUGUGCACCUAUGAACGAGUGUGGAUUGGAUGGGGGGUUGUAAAAGGCCCCCUUGACAGUUGCCUCGUUUCUUAUUAUAAACUCGUUUUAUGUCUUGUAGAAUGCAUUGCCUCAUUGUGGGCGAAAUGUUAAUACAACUUUCAACAACGGAUCUCUUGGCUCUCGCAUCGAUGAAGAACGCAGC
rnacentral:misc_RNA from 1 species